AUACUGAGUGUUUUUGGAAGAGUCCUUGUUCCUGAUGCUGGGCAUUUCUGGAAGAGGCCUUUUUCACUGGGGCCUCCCUAAGCAUGGGACUAAGGUGACCGCCAUGAUGAAAGACCAGAUUCUCAUGAAGAAACCGUUUGUGAAGGAUUUUGAUCAGGCAACAUGGGCAUGCAGGUUUAAACACAGCCCCCAGCCUUCCAUGCCUGGCAAGCCACUUUCUCCUAUGUUCAUGCAUGUCUAGAUUUCUCAAUGAAAAACGUAGUUGAACUCAUGAAAGCCUAUCUUUAAAAAAUAUUAAAUAGCUAAUCUUAUAAACCCCUA
rnacentral:lncRNA from 1 species